rnacentral:lncRNA from 1 species
UUUAGACGGAGAACCGAUCUUGUAACUAACUAUAUCAUAGGCACACUAGUAUUUUAAAUCGGUAAAAAACCUUAAUAUAACAUAUAACUAAAAAAUACAAAAGAAAAAGAAAGAAAUAUAAAGAGCAAAAAAUUCACAUUGCACUAAUUGGAACGUAAUAUCCAUAUCUGCUAGACGUCAAAGCUAGCCAACAACAGCGUCAUCGAACUAAUAGAAAAAUAAUGGUAUUGCAAAUAAAUAACGUCAUCGAACUAAUAGAAAAAUAAUGGUAUUGCAAAUCAAUAAAUAAAUAAAUAAAUAAAUUUACGAUUAACUCGUAAAAAUUCGAACAGAAAUUCUUGAAGAAAAAAAAAAGAGAUACUUGUUGUUGAUCUUUAUUUGUUCUUCGGCUUUGUUCAUUAACAAAUUAUCAUCCAUAUGGAUCUAAGUCUUCUACUUCAUCAUUCUUGUAAUAAGCAUUGUUGUUCUGAUGAUUUCACCGUGGUGUUAAAGGACUUUUGGAAACUUAUUAAUGAGAAAAUUCUGCCUGAUAAACAACAUUCGUGGGAUUUUCAUGAUGUUGUUAGUCCUCAACGUCAAACGACACCUUUAGAUGAGUAGAUAUAUACAUGUGUUUAAAUUACAUAAAUAUAAUUAAUAUGAUAUGUGAAAGGUUGUAAUGGUCCAUAAUUCUGAAUAGGGAAGGUUGUAACGGUCCCUUGUUGGGACCGUUUCUUUCACUAGUGGGUGGAUAAUAUGUUAAAUUAAAAGAAAAAAUAGCACAUAAAAAAGAGAAAAAAGAAAAGAUAAAAUCCAAAAAAAGAAAGGAAAAAAUAUAUAAAUAUGAUAAAGAGAUGUGUCAACUCAUACAUGCUUACGUACACACGUACAUAUACGUACACAUACAUACAUACGUACAAUGGACCUUUUUCCGCUAGAUCGGAGCAAUGUUUUGUAGAUCAAUUGGUAUUUCUUUUGUUACAUAUAAAAUAUUUCAGAAAAGUACGUGUUAUUAGGGACCAAAAUAAAAAUGGUUAUAUGAAUUUUACAUGGGAAAAGGGCAAAAGGAGAGACUUGAAAGGAAGCUCUUCUUCUAAGAAGCCAAUGAAUUAAGGAGUCUAUCAACAAUCUUGCUCUGAGCUUCCUCACCAUCUUUUUCUCCUCCUCAUCGUCAUCACUCAACAAGCCGAUGCAGAGUGAAAAGACAAAGAAUUAUCACAAUCUUUUUUAACUGAAUUCUUAAUUUAUUUCAUUAGCACCACCAUUUUUUCAACAAGAAAAUCCUUCUUCUCCGAAGUAGAAGGUAUGCAUGCAUGGUUGAACAGGAGGGUUUUAUGGUGGACUGUUGGAUAAAUUGGUGAUGAUAAGUGUAGAGAUCAAAGAUAAAUAAGAAAGACAAGUACUAAAAAAAAGAAGAGGAAGUCGAAUUUAAAUUCAUUUUUUUACCUCAAAAUGUGUAAAGAAAACGAUAGUGAUUUCUUUUUGUAUUUUGAGGGUAAUAAUAGCUCUUCAAUAGCUUUGUGAAUGAUAGUGAUAAAGAAGGAGAAGAAGAUGGUGAAGAAGCUCAGAGCAAAGUUGUUGAUAAAUCUCAAAAUUCUUUGUCUUCUUUGGAAGAAGCUCUUCCUUCCACGUCUCUCCUUUUGACCCUUUUCCCUUGGAAAAUUCAUUGAACUACCUUUUUAUUUCAGCCCCUAAUAACAUCGUCUCUCUUAUUCUGUAUUCAGAUCAGAAUAGCAUCCAUUGCUUUGAAAUGAACACAAAUGCUAAUAUAUAAAAGACAUGCAAUCUAGUCCCAUCACAUGGCCUUUCUCAAGAAGUGACACACGUACUAUGGAUAUACUAGCGUGGAUGUCUAAGAGUGAAUGAAGGCUAAGUUUAUCGGUGAUAUCAACAACUAGGCAAAAUUCAUUGAACCUGAAUCUAUGAUCCUGUUUGUUUGCAGAAACAAGCAAUAUAGUAUCUAUUAGUCCACCUAAUUAGACACUAUGCGCAGUGGCGUAGCUAGAAAUUUCAUUAAGAUUGUUCAAAUUUUAAACCAGUCAAUAAUUUUUUGUCUAUGAAUAUUGUACCAAAUUCUUUAAACCAAACUACGACAACAUUUAACAAAACAAUAAAAAAAAUUAAUAAAACUAUAAUUUUAUAAAUCAAAAGUAAAAUAACAAAAAUAAAGGUUAUAAAUUUUACUAAAAAGUAAGCAUAAAACCAAAGGAAAGAAAGAGUGAGGAGGAUUUGUAGUUUGUAGAUAGCUUUUGUUAGAAUUUUUUUUCUAUAGAGCUUAAUUUUUAAAUUACAAAAUUUGUCUGUGAAAGAAUUUGUAGUUAAAAAAAUUACUUUUAAGAUAAGUUGUUUAUUCUUACACAAACCUUAAGUUUUAAGAAUUAUUUUAGAUUGAAAAAGAAUCAAAUAGACCAUAUGUGAUGGUCUCCUUUAGUUUUGGCAAAACAAAAUGGGAAAAAAUUGAACCCAUGAAAAACAUGUCACUUUGAAUACCCUAAAUCGCUAGACUGCCUCACUCAACUGUAUUAAAGGUGUUUAAAAUAUAAUAUAUAACCAUAUAAAUUAGUAUUUAACUUAUAUAUACAAUAUAAUUUUUUGAUGAAGAGUGUGCGCUUGACUACACUAUGGCACUAUCUUCUAUGUCGUGUUUGUCCUCGCGUAACGCACCAGCAUUGUAAUGGCCCGAUCGAUUAUUUUGAGUAUUUUAGUCCCAUUCUCCUAUUUAUUGCCUCCUCUAUUAUAUAUUGUAGUUAUGUGACUUACCGGAAAAGUUGGUUUGGUUUCAGAUGAGGUUUAGAGUGAGAUGAGACACUUAGUCCCAAAGUUGGAAGCUUAAGUUGAAAGAGUUGACCGAAAUUUGAAUUUUGUGUAGACGACUCUGAAAUAAAGUUUUAACGGUUCCCAUAGCUUCGUAUGGUAAUUUUGGACUUAGGAACAUGUUCGUAUAUUGAUUUGGAGAUACGUAGGUCAUUUUGGCUUAAAUUGGCGCAAGUUAGAAAGUUGAAGAUUUGGAAGGUUGAGGAAUUUGACCGGGAGUUGACUUUAUUGAUAUCAGGAUCGAAUUCUAAUUUUGGGAUUUGGAAUAGGUCAGUUGUAUAAUUUAUGACUUGCGUGCAAAAUUGAGACCAAUCGGAGUUGGUUUGGUAUGAAUCGGCGUUAAUUUUGGAAGUUGGAUGCUCAUGAUUUCAAUAGGUUUGAAUUUGGUUGCCAUUCAUAGAAUAGAUGUUGUUUGAUAUGAUUUUUGGCCUCGAGUAGGUUCGUUAUGUGUUUUGGAACUUGAUGGCAUAUUUGGAGGGGGCCCCGGGGGCCCAGAUGUGAUUCAGAUUGAAUCAGGAAACCUUUUGGACUAGGUUGAUUGUUGAAACACUGCUGAGUCUAGUGCAAUCGCACAUGCGCACUAUGGGAGCCACAAAAGCGAGAUUUGUACUGGAGCACUGGUUCCGUAGGUGCGGAGUAUGGCCCGCAGAUGCGCACCCGCAGAAGCGGAGUAGGAACCGUAGAUGCGGAAUCUGGCCCUUUGGUACUGGACCACAGUUACAGUCGUGUGUCGCAGAAGCGGGCUCGCAGGAGCUGUCAAUGCUCCGCAAAAGCGGGACCACAAGGGCGUCUCUUGUCUGCAGAUGCGGAACUCCAUGGCUUAAGUGAAAUCCGCAUAUGCGAUGGAUUUUCUGUAGGUGUGGAGCUGCAGAAGCGGAACCACUGGGCAGAAAAGGGGCAGAUCGAGGGUUUGUUCCCAUUCUUCAUCUUUUCAGUUAUAGAUCUUAGUUUUGAGCGAUUUUGAGAGAGAUUUUCAAGGAGUUGAACGGGGCAAGUGUUUUAACUCGGAUUUGACUAUUAUACAUGAAUCCAUCAUUGUUUGUAUCAUUUAAUUAAUGUUUUCAGUUGAAAAAAUUGGGGAAAUUUUGAAAACUCUAUAAGCUAUAUUUUGAGGAUUUGAAGGUCGAUUUGAGGUCGGAAUUGAAUAAUUUUAGCAUGGUUGGACUCAUUAUUAAAUAUGUAUUCGAAUUUUGUAAGUUUGGUCUGUUUCUGAGAUACGGGUCCGGGGUUAACUUAUUGAUUUUCUUUAAAGAUUGCAACUUUAUUAUCCAGAAUAGUUUUCUAUGAUUUGUAUUUAUGGUAUAAAGUUAUAUUCGCUAGAUUUGAGCCGUUCAAAGUCGGAUAUUCACGGAAAAGGCUUACUAGUGGAUUGAGUUAGCUUAUUUGAGGUAAGUAUCUUGCCUAACUUUAUGUGAGAAAUUUCCUCUUAGGAUUGGAGUUAUUUUGUGUCAUUUGUGGUACGUGAAAGCCGUAUACGUAAGGUGAUGAGUGGGUACACGAGUUAUAUAUGAUAAUUGACCAGUUUAAGCUAUGUACAUUCUUUUCAUACCUUUAAUCGAAUUGUGAUAACAUGACAUAUCUAUCAUCGUUAAUCAAUCCUUACAUGCUUUAUUUGACAUUAUUAAUACUUGUUGUAACGACCCGACCAUUCGCUUUGCUUUCUGGAUCCCUGUUCACCUAAAUAAGACUCCACGUAUGAGCUUUUAAUAUUUUAUGACUUGCGGGGAUGGUUGGUUUAGGUUUGAAAGGGUUCGGGUUGAAAUCGGAACACUUAAAUCCUUUAUAGUGGUCGAAGGUGGACAAGUUCGAUUUGAGUCAAUGUUUUGGGUAAACAACCUCGAAACCGGGAUUUGAAGGUUCCAAUAGGUUUGUAUGAUAAUUUUGAACUUGAGUGUGUGUUCGGAUCAGAUUUCGGGGUAAUCCGGGAGCAUUUCGGUGCUUAAUGUGAAAAAUCGGUUCAUUCAAGGUUUUCUGGUUGUUUAAAAUUGGUUUGGAGUAGACUUUGGUUUUAUUGAGGUCCGUUUGGGAUUUCGAUCCUGAGAAUAGUUCCGUGUGGUGAUUUAGGACUUGUAUGCGAAAUUUGGUGUCAUUCCGAGUUGAUUUGAUAGGAAUCAGACGAGCGGAAGUGAGUCUGUAUUAUAUUGUUGGACGCGUUAGUGCAAUUAGAUGGGGUCCGGGGGGGGGGGGUAGGGUGCGAAUCAGAUUGGAAUCAGACUUGAUUUUGGUCCUGGGGGGGAAGGGGGAGGGUGCGAUUCCAAGUCCUCGAGCAAGCAUAAGCAGCCCAGUGGUCGCAUGAGCGGACUUGGAGCUGGAGCUGGGUGGCCGCAGGUGCGAGGCAUUUUUCGCUUUUGCGCAUCCGCGGAUGCAAUAGAGGCUCCGCAGGUGCGGCAAUGGGCCGGGUAGCUAUGGAUCGCAGGAGCGAAGGAGAGUCUUCAGAAGUCGAGGGAGUUCGCAGAAGUAGACCCGCAGAAGCGAGGAGGCUGGAGGCAGUGGGGGGUCGUAGAUGCAGCCUUUUGACCGCACCUGCGGUUCCGCAGAUGCGCCUUAGUAACCGCAUGUGCGGAAGUCGCUAUGUAGUGAGUGCAUUUAAUCCGAGACAUAGGCUAUUUUACUCACACUUUUAUUUGGUCUUGGGAGAUUUUGAGAGCACUUUCGAGGGGGAUUCUCAUCAACAACACGAGGAAAGUAAACUGCACCCAUUUUCAAGUUAAAUACGCAGAUUAUAGGUAGAUUAAACAUGGAAAAUUAGUGAAACUUGUGGGAUUUUGUGAAGAACCUAGGGUUUAAGUAAAAUUGGGAUUUGACCUUGGAUUUGGUGGUAGAAAUUGUAAUAAAUUAUAUAAUUGAGCUCAGGAGGUCAUGGGUAACAAUUAUAUUCGAAAAUUUUCGGAAUCUGGGCACGUGAGCUUGGGGGUGAAUUUCAUGAAUCUUCCAAAUUGGUUUGGGUAACUAUUUUAAUAGCUAAAUUACAAACUCACGAGAAUAUAUUUAUUAGUUUAUACGACUUUUGAUUAGUUUCGGGUUCCUCGGCGUCGUUUGACUAGUUCUAGUGAUAUUGAAGAGCCGGAUCGAGGACUUGGAAUCGAGGUAAGUCUCUUGCCUAACCUUGUAAGAGGGAACUUAUCCUCUUAGGUGUAUUAUUAUUGUGUGCUACUUGUUGUGGGGAGCUACAUACACACGAGCUGACAAGAGUACGUACGUAGCUAUACUUCAUGAUAUGUCCGAGUAGACUAAGAUUCAUAUCAUGCCUUUAAUUGUAUUGUUAAUGCCUGUCAUGUGUAUUACUUGUCUUGAUUAGGACCGAGACUGAGGAUUUAAAUUGGAGAUAUCGACUUAGUUUCUUACUUUAGAAAAACAAUCAAGGAAAUACUUGAUAAAUGAUAAAUCAUUAUCUUCUCGUCUCGCAAGUGCUUCUGCUAGCGAGGUAAACUUCUCUACUAUUAUUGGAUCGGGCUGUUCGCCUCGGCAGUGACAUAAAUUACUCUUUUGGGAUCAGACCGUUUGCCUCGGCUUGAUGGUAACACUACUCUUAUGGGAUCGGGCCAUUCGCCUCAGAAGGUUGGUAUUACUAUUCUUAUGGGAUCGGGCCAUUCACCUCGGCAGUACUGAGUACCACUAUUCCUAUGGGAUCGGGCCGUUCUCCUCGGCAACUUCGUGCUUAAUAAUUGGAACUGAAUUUGGUUUGGUAAUUACUGAGUUAGCGCCUUCAAGGCCGGUUAUGACGUGUUUAGUGAUUUGAUAUAGCCUCAUGUGUGUACUUGUUGUAGAUUCUUUUAUUUGCUUCACUACUACCUGUUGUACACUCGCCAUGUCUACUUCGUGUUUUUAUGAUUUUAUUUUACCUCUAGUAAGAAUAAAGUCGACCCCUCGUCAUUACUUCUUCGAGGUUAGACUAGAUACUUACUAGAUACAUGUUAUUUUACGUACUCACGCUACAUUUCUGCACUGAUGUUCAGGUACCGAGAUAGGUACUACCAGUGGUCACGCGGGCGUGUAGCCGAUCAUCUACGGAUAAUUAGGGGUGAGCUGCUUGCCUUGCUACGAUCUGUAGCACCGAAGUAUCCCUCUACCUUAUUUUUUUAUUUCUGUCUAUCACUUUCAAACAAUAGUUGUAGUAGCUUUAUAUAUUCCCUGGAUUGCUCAUGUACUUGUGCGUCGGGUUUUGGGGACUUUUAGCAUUUAUGUACUGCUAUAUUUAUCAUUUCUAGAACUACAGUAGAUGUACUUAUUAUGCUAGUAUUUUGUUAAGAAAAGAAUAGUUACGGUUGCUUGAGAUCUUGCUUAUUUUGUUCUUAUAAAAGGAAAACUUUAGUUUUAAAUGUUAACAAGGGGCAAAUAAUUAGUAGUUUCAGUUGUGGUCUUACCUAACGGCGGUGUUAGGUGCCACCGCAACCUAUUAGGGGUUUUGGGUUGUGACAGUUUGGUAUCCGAGCUUUAGGUUUACAUAGGUCUCACGAGUCAUGAGCAGGCCUAGUAGAGUCUUGCGGACCGGUGCAGAGACAUCCGUACUUAUAUUCGAGAGGCUAUAGGGUGUUAUAAAACUUUUCUUUAUUCAUCUCCUAUCGUGCAAUUGAUAUUGUGCUAAGUAUCUUUCUAUUGAUCUCUCACAGGUGGUGAGAACGCACGCAUCAAAUGCAAUAAGCAGUAGAGGGGAUGCUCCCCCCAUUGCUAGAGGCCGAGGCAGGGGUCGGGGAAGGGCUCCAGCUCCAGUCAAAGGACGAGGGCUUCUUAGAGUUGCUCCAGUUGUACCACCGGUAGAUCUAGUGAAGGAUCUUGUUGUUGAUGAGCAGGAUAAGGCACCUGCAACUGUGCCAUCCCCACCAGAUUUCAUGACUGCACCGGGAUUCCAGGAGGUCAUAGGCCGUAUGCUGCGGGUCAUGGACUCUAUGACGCAGGCUAGUUUAUUUCCAGCAGACUCUGCCACAUCUCAAGCGGGAGGGGGAGCAUAGACCCCUACUGCUCAGGCUCCAAGGAACGUACGCUGCCGUUUAUCAGACCCCAACUGUACUAGCUGCGGGCAGAGCCCAGCCAGUUGCAGUGACUGUGCGAGAGGCUAUACCAGUCGUGACCGUUGAUCAGCAAAAGCGGCUGGAAAGAUGGACUAGACUUCAUCCCCCUAACUUUUGGGGGUGAUCGGGCAGAGGACCCCCAGGAUUUCAUUGACUGUUGCAAGGAUAGGCUCUGAAACAUUGGGAUGUUGGAGUCCAACGGGAUGGACUUCACCACCUUUCAGCUUGAGGGCAAAGCCCAAAGAUGGUGGCAGGCUUACCUUUUUAGCAGGCCAGCAGGUUGGUCUCCCUUGACUUGGAUUAGUUUACGCAUUUGUUCUUGGAGAAGUACAUACCACCUUCUGAGAGAGAAGGAGAUUCGGGGUCAGUUUGAGCGACUCCGUUAGUACGCCCAUGUAGUCAGCACCACUGUCUACUCAGAGUGCUCCAACAUGACCCUACUUUAGUGCCAUUCCGGAGAGUACUUACCGUCCACAAGCUAUUCAUGGUUCCUUCAUUGGGUAUUUAGGCCAUCAAGGUCAGACUUUAGGUUAGCAGUCCACUGCUCUGAGGGGUUGUUUUGAGUGCGGGGAUCAUGGCCACGUGAAUAGGUUUUUUCCAAGACUUCGGGGAAGGCCGAGCAGUUGGUCCAUCGGCCCAUGAUUACCGCACCAGCUACCACAUUGCCUAGCCUGCCGGCUAGAGGCAGAGGGCAGGUGGGUAGGGGUCAUCCUAGAGGUAGAGGCUAGUUAGGUUGCGCUCCGACUAGAUUCUAUGCUAUCAUCGCUAGGCCAGAUUCAAUUGCCUCCGAUGUAGUGAUCACAUGUAAUAUUUCUGUCUGCCGUAGGGAUGCAUCGAUAUUAUUUGAUCCAGGGUAUACUUACUCCUAUGUUUCUUCUCUAUUUUCUCCUUAUCUAGAUGUACCUUGCGAGUCCUUGGGCGUUCCUGUGUAUGUGUCCACGCCAGUGGGUGAUUCUAUUAUUGUGGAUCGGGUCUACCGAUCCUAUGUGAUGACUUUCUAUGGUUAUAAGACCAGAGCAGAUCUACUAUUGCUCGAUAUGGUAAACUUCGAGGUUAUCUUGGGCAUGGACUGGUUGUCCCCGUACCACACCAUUCUUGAUUGCCAUGCCAAGACUGUUGCCUUAGCGAUGCCUAAGUUGCCUAGAUUAGAGUGGAGGGGUUCGUCUGUUGUUACUUCCAGCCGGAUUAUUUCUUUCUUGAAGGCUCGACAUAUGGUUGAUAAGGGUUGUUUGGCCUACUUGGACUUUGUUUGGGAUAUUACUGUAGAGACUCCCGUGACAGAUUCAGUGCUGGUAGUACGAGAGUUUUCCGAUAUAUUUCUUACUGACCUACCUGGUAUGUCGUCGAAUCGGGAUAUCGAUUUUGGCAUUGAUUUGGUGCCAGGCACCCAGCCUAUUUCUACUUCCCCUUAUCGUAUGGCUCUCAAGGAGCUUAGCAAGUUAAAGGAGCAGCUUCAUGAAGUUCUUGAGAAGGGGUUCAUUAGACCCAGUGUAUCGCCAUGGGGCGCACCGAUGUUGUUUAUGAAGAAGAAGGAUGAGAGUAUGCGUAUGUGCAUUGAUUACCGCCAGUUAAACAAAGUCACCAUCAAUAAUAAGUAUACGUUGCCACGCAUUGAUGAUUUGUUCGACCGGUUGCAGGGUGCCAGGGUGUUCUCUAAGAUCAACUUGAGAUCUGGGUAUCAUUAGCUGAAGAUUCGUGCUUUGGAUAUUCCGAAGACGGCUUUCCGGACUAGAUAUGGACACUAUGAGUUUUUAGUGAUGUCAUUCGGGUUGACUAACGCCUCAGUGGCAUUUAUGGAUUUGAUGAAUAUGGGGUUCAGGUCAUAUCUUGACUCAUUUGUCAUUGUAUUCAUUGAUGACAUAUUUAUCAACUCGCGUAGUAUGGAGGAGCACAAGCAACAUUUAUGGUUAGUGCUUCAGACCUUGCGGGAACAGAAGCUUUAUGCUAAGUUCUCCAAGUGUGAGUUAUGGAUGGAUUUCGUGGCUUUCUUGGGGCAUGUUGUAGCAAGUGAGGGUAUUAA